GACGAACGCUGGCGGCGUGCCUAAUACAUGCAAGUAGAACGCUGAAGAGAGGAGCUUGCUCUUCUUGGAUGAGUUGCGAACGGGUGAGUAACGCGUAGGUAACCUGCCUGGUAGCGGGGGAUAACUAUUGGAAACGAUAGCUAAUACCGCAUAAAAUGGAUUAUCGCAUGAUAAUCGAUUGAAAGGUGCAAAUGCAUCACUACCAGAUGGACCUGCGUUGUAUUAGCUAGUUGGUGGGGUAACGGCUCACCAAGGCGACGAUACAUAGCCGACCUGAGAGGGUGAUCGGCCACACUGGGACUGAGACACGGCCCAGACUCCUACGGGAGGCAGCAGUAGGGAAUCUUCGGCAAUGGACGGAAGUCUGACCGAGCAACGCCGCGUGAGUGAAGAAGGUUUUCGGAUCGUAAAGCUCUGUUGUAAGAGAAGAACGAGUGUGAGAAGUGGAAAGUUCACACUGUGACUGU
rnacentral:rRNA from 1 species